ensembl:misc_RNA 7SK 7SK RNA
GGGUGUGAGGGCGAUCUGGCUGUGACAUCUGUCACCCCAUUGAUUGCCAGGGUUGAUUCUGCUGAUCUGGCUGGCUAGGUGGGUGUCCCCUUCCUCCCUCGCUUCUCCGUGUGUCCCUCCUGAAACUGCGCGCUCAGUCGAAGAGGACAAACAUCCCCGAUAGAGGAGGACCGGUCUUCGGUCAAGGGCAUAUGAGUGGCUGCGCUCCCCUGGUAGAGCCUCCAAACCAGCUCUCAAGAAACAAAAAACCUAUUUCUUAUUAUGUCAGAGUGUUUUAACUUUUCAGGGGAAAAAUACUCUAUAAACAGAUAAAGGCUAUGUUGUUAUUAUUU